CUACGGGAGGCUGCAGUGAGGAAUAUUGCACAAUGGGGGGAACCCUGAUGCAGCAACGCCGCGUGGAGGAUGACGCAUUUCGGUGUGUAAACUCCUUUUAUAUGUCAAGAAAAUGACGGUAGCAUAUGAAUAAGCACCGGCUAACUCCGUGCCAGCAGCCGCGGUAAUACGGAGGGUGCAAGCGUUAACUCGGAAUCACUGGGCGUAAAGGACGCGUAGGCGGGUUGGAAAGUCAGGUGUGAAAUCCUACAGCUUAACUGUAGAACUGCACUUGAAACUUCUAAUCUAGAGUAUGGGAGGGGGAGAUGGAAUUAGUGGUGUAGGGGUAAAAUCCGUAGAUAUCACUAGGAAUACCUAAAGCGAAGGCGAUCUCCUGGAACAUUGCUGACGCUAAGGCGUGAAAGCGUGGGGAGCAAACAGGAUUAGAUACCCGUGUAGUC
rnacentral:rRNA from 1 species